UACGGAAGGCAGCAGUGGGGAAUAUUGCACAAUGGGCGCAAGCCUGAUGCAGCCAUGCCGCGUGUAUGAAGAAGGCCUUCGGGUUGUAAAGUACUUUCAGUCGUGAGGAAGGUGUUAAGGUUAAUAACCUUAGCAAUUGACGUUAGCGACAGAAGAAGCACCGGCUAACUCCGUGCCAGCAGCCGCGGUAAUACGGAGGGUGCGAGCGUUAAUCGGAAUUACUGGGCGUAAAGGGCACGCAGGCGGUUAAUUAAGUUGGAUGUGAAAUCCCCGGGCUUAACCUGGGAAUGGCAUUCAAGACUGGUUAGCUAGAGUCUUGUAGAGGGGGUAGAAUUCCAUGUGUAGCGGUGAAAUGCGUAGAGAUGUGGAGGAAUACCGGUGGCGAAGGCGGCCCCUGGGACAAGACUGACGCUCAUGUGCGAAAGCGUGGGGA
rnacentral:rRNA from 1 species